AGAGUUGAUCAUGGCUCAGAACGAACGCUGGCGGCGCGUUUAAGCAUGCAAGUCGAGCGGCAAGGGCCUUCGGGCCCCUAGAGCGGCGGACGGGUGAGUAACACGUGGACAAUCUGCCCCCCGGCCCGGGAUAGCCCAGGGAAACCUGGAUUAAUACCGGAUGAGACGGGACCCGCGAUGGCGGGACCCGGGAAAGGCGCUGCGGCGCCGCCGGGGGAUGAGUCUGCGUCCCAUUAGCUAGACGGCGGGGUAACGGCCCACCGUGGCGACGAUGGGUAGCCGGCCUGAGAGGGUGGACGGCCACAUUGGAACUGAGACACGGUCCAGACUCCUACGGGAGGCAGCAGCUAAGAAUCUUCCGCAAUGGGCGAAAGCCUGACGGAGCCGACGCCGCGUGAACGAAGAAGGCCGUGAGGUUGUAAAGUUCUUUUCGGGAGGGGGAACAACCGUGGCAGGGAAUGGCCGCGGGAUGACGUGAAUCCCGGAAUAAGCCCCGGCUAACUACGUGCCAGCCGCUGC
rnacentral:rRNA from 1 species